GUUGCUGUCAUGUUUGCGACUGUCUUUUAUCUGUCACUGUUGAUGCACUCAGGUUUCUCCGUUGUAGUCCUUCAGUCUCUACAUCGAAUCUCUUCGCCGGGAGACGAUGUGACGUUCGAGUGCAGGUUGGGAGCAGGCGACAGCAUGAGCAGCCAAACCAUGCUCUGGUACCGGCAGAGGAGCCCCGGGGCCCAAGUGGAGUUCAUCCUCAAAGAGUACGAAGAAACUGUGGGACGCUACCGGUCUUCCAUCGAACCGCAGAAAAAUCUGUUCUCUCUUCAAAUCCCAAAGUUGUUCCCGAAUGACAGCAGCACCUACUACUGUGCCGCUAGUCACAGUGAUGCAUGCAGAUCAGACAGUCAUACAAAUAAGGAGACGGUCUGUGGUACGCAGGCAGGAAGGAGCCGUGGCUUCUCUGACUAG